UACAGAGGUGGCAAGCGUUGUUCGGAAUUACUGGGCGUAAAGCGCGUGUAGGCGGCUCUUCAAGUCAGGCGUGAAAGCCCCGGGCUCAACUCGGGAACUGCGCUUGAUACUGUCGAGCUAGAGUGUGGAAGGGGCGAUUGGAAUUCCGUGUGUAGCGGUGAAAUGCGUAGAUAUACGGAGGAACACCAGAGGCGAAGGCGGAUCGCUGGGCCAACACUGACGCUGAGACGCGAAAGCGAGGGGAGCAAACGGG
rnacentral:rRNA from 1 species